AUGUUGAGCACGUGCUAUCACGCGCCUUCCAUUUUUUCGUUGAGCAGUUGCACGAGGUUGAAGCGUAACCUUUAUCGCUCAUCAAUGGCGGCUUCUUGUGUUCGAAUUGUCAUCGUCGGCGAUGUGCAUGAUUGCUGGAACUUUGAACGAGAUUCAAAGGCUCUUCGAUUCCUCCAGCCAGAUUUGGUGCUCUUUACAGGUGAUUUUGGUGAAGAAAAUCUUGAAGUUGUUCGAAGUGUUGCAAAUGUUGAAUUUGCUAAAGCAGUUAUAUUAGGAAACCAUGACUCCUGGUUUACUAAGAAGUUUUCUAAAAGGUGA